rnacentral:rRNA from 1 species
UAACACAUUAAGCACUCCGCCUGGGGAGUACGGUCGCAAGACUGAAACUCAAAGGAAUUGACGGGGACCCGCACAAGCAGGGGAGUAUGUGGUUUAAUUCGAAGCAACGCGAAAAACCUUACCAGGUCUUGACAUCCGAAUGACCGGCGCAGAGAUGUACCUUUCCUUCGGAACAUUCAAGACAGGUGGUGCAUGGUUGUCGUCAGCUCGUGUCGUGAGAUGUUGGGUUAAGUCCCGCAACGAGCGCAACCCUUAUAUUUAGUUGCCAGCACUUCGGGUGGGCACUCUAGAUAGACUGCCGGUGACAAACCGGAGGAAGGUGGGGAUGACGUCAAAUCAUCAUGCCCCUUAUGACCUGGGCUACACACGUACUACAAUGGCCGGUACAACGGGGUGCSAAAUCGCGAGAUGGAGCCAAUCCCAACAAAGCCGGUCUCAGUUCGGAUUGCAGGCUGCAACUCGCYUGCAUGAAGUCGGAAUUGCUAGUAAUCGCGGAUCAACAUGCCGCGGUGAAUACGUUCCCGGGUCUUGUACACACCGCCCGUCACACCCCGAGAGUUUAUAACACCCGAAGU